rnacentral:lncRNA from 1 species
UGAAGUUACGUUGUCCAUUUGGUUGGAGAGCCAUUUGAAUGGUUCCGGUAAAGUUGCGGUGUAAUGUAAUAUACCGGAUUUAAAUAUAAAAAUAAAAAUAAAUAAAAAUAGUAUGAGAUACUAUUUUUAUUGGAUUUGGAGAAGUAAAAUAUGAGUUAGAAAUGACUUGUGCUGAAAUUGGAAUGAAAACAGAAGAUUUAGAAUUUUCUGUGAGAGACGGGGCAGAUAAAUUAGCAGAAAAUGCACAGUCUCAGAAAAUUAUGAAAAUUGGAGGACAAGUCAGAAAUAUUUUUAUGAGGCUAGAUUUAAGGUUUCAUAUUUUUCUGACACCCGUAGAGUGAGAAAUAAAAUCCGACAGUUAUCUGAUAAAGAUUACAGUUCGGUACAGUUUUCAGUGACCAAACGGGGUCGAAACUGAAAAGUUAAGAUAUAUUCUUACUCAGUACGUUAAACUGAGUCUACCUGUCAAAUUUGAGCUCAAUCGGACAUUCAGAAGGGUUCCGAUGGAACUUAUCAGAUUUGAGGGACUAAACUGAAAAGUGGAAUAGUUGAGGGGGCUGCUUGUGGAAAAGAGCAUUG